rnacentral:tRNA from 1 species
GGGGAUUUAGCUCAGCGGCAUAAGCGCCUGCCCAGCAAGCAGGCAGUCGUGAGUUCAAUCCCCA